rnacentral:rRNA from 1 species
AGCGGCGGACGGGUGAGUAACGCGUGGGUAACCUGCCCUAUACACACGGAUAACAUACCGAAAGGUAUGCUAAUACGAGAUAAUAUAAGAGAUUCACAUGGAUUUCUUAUCAAAGCUGAGGCGGUAUAGGAUGGACCCGCGUCUGAUUAGCUAGUUGGUAAGGUAACGGCUUACCAAGGCGACGAUCAGUAGCCGACCUGAGAGGGUGAUCGGCCACAUUGGAACUGAGACACGGUCCAAACUCCUACGGGAGGCAGCAGCGGGGAAUAUUGCACAAUGGGCGAAAGCCUGAUGCAGCAACGCCGCGUGAGUGAUGAAGGCCUUCGGGUCGUAAAACUCUGUCCUCAAGGAAGAUAAUGACGGUACUUGAGGAGGAAGCCCCGGCUAACUACGUGCCAGCAGCCGCGGUAAUACGUAGGGGGCUAGCGUUAUCCGGAUUUACUGGGCGUAAAGGGUGCGUAGGUGGUCUCUUAAGUCAGGGGUGAAAGGCUACGGCUCAACCGUAGUAAGCCUUUGAAACUGGGAAACUUGAGUGCAGGAGAGGAGAGUGGAAUUCCUAGUGUAGCGGUGAAAUGCGUAGAUAUUAGGAGGAACACCAGUUGCGAAGGCGGCUCUCUGGACUGUAACUGACACUGAGGCACGAAAGCGUGGGGAGCAAACAGGAUUAGAUACCCUGGUAGUCCACGCCGUAAACGAUGAGUACUAGCUGU